CGCGUAGGCGGCCUGGUAAGUCUGGAGUGAAAGUCCUGCUUUUAAGGUGGGAAUUGCUUUGGAUACUGUCGGGCUUGAGUGCAGGAGAGGUAAGUGGAAUUCCCGGUGUAGCGGUGAAAUGCGUAGAGAUCGGGAGGAACACCAGUGGCGAAGGCGACUUACUGGACUGUAACUGACGCUGAGGCGCGAAAGUGUGGGGGAGCAAAACA
rnacentral:rRNA from 1 species